UAAUACGGGAGGGGCAAGCGUUAUCCAAAAUUACUGGGCGUAAAGUGUCCGUAGACUGUAAAUUAAGUUUUAUGUUAAAAUUUAAAGCUUAACUUUAAAAAAAUAUACAAUACUGUUUUACUUGAGUUUUAUACGGAAGAGUAGAAUUUCAUGUCAAAGAGUAAAUUCUAAAAAUACAUGAAGGAAUAUCGAAAGCGAAGGCGACUCUUUAGUACAAACUGACGUUGAGGGACGAAAGUGUAGGGAGCGAACAGGAUUAGAUACCCUGGUAGUCUACACUGUAAAUUCUGAAUGCUGUAAUUUAAAAUAAUGAUUUUAGAUUUUUUAAGCUAACGCCAUAAGCAUUCCGCCUGAGGAGUAUGAUCGCAAGAUUGGAACUCAAAGGAAUUGACGGGAGCCUACAACGAGUGGUGGAGCAUGUGGUUUAAUGCGAUAAUCCGCGCAAAACCUUACCAACCCUUGACAUAUCAAAAAAUAAUUUGAAGAUAUUUCAAUUACUUUUC
rnacentral:rRNA from 1 species